rnacentral:rRNA from 1 species
UAAUUAGAUAUAUAUGUGUUUUCUAAAAAUUUUUUGUUAUUUCAAAAAACAUAUUUUUUUUAUUUUAUACAUAGGCUUGGCUCUGACUUUAUAGUAUAACAGUAGCAAAUAAAUACACAUGGUUUUAAUUGAUCGUAGUGAGGUAUAAAAUUAGAUAGUUUAAAUUAUAAAAACAAAUCAUUAUCUAAUUUUAAAAAAUUAUAAGGAAAUGAUUUUGAGACUGAACCACUAUACACCAGUGUUUAAUAUUAGUUAAGAAGCGAAAGCUUGCUCUAGAUUAGCUAAAAGAUUUGGUCAACUUGGUGCCAGCAUCCGCGGUUAGACCAAGAAAUCAAGUUAUACAAUAUAGGUAAAAAGACAGUUAAAUAAUAAUAAAUUAAUUUUAAGAUUUUUUAUCUAAAAGUAAAAUUUGUAUAUAAAAAAAUAUUUUUAUUAAAAUUAUAGAUAUUGAAGCUGUGACAAUUUAGUUAUAAACUAGGAUUAGAUGCCCUAUUAUUCUAAAUUAUAAAUAGAUAUUCCAUAUUUACCUGAGUACUACGAGUCUAAAAACUUAAAACUCAAAGAGCUUGGCGGUACUUUAUACCAUUCAGGGGAACCUGUCUCGUAAUCGACAAUCCACGAUAAACCUUACCUUUUUUUGUAAUUCAGUUUGUAUACCGUCGUCGAUCAGGCAACUUUUAAAAAAUAAGAAGUUGACAAAAAAGAUUUAUAAUCUUAGACGUCAGAUCAAGGUGCAGCUUAUGAGAAGGAGAGGAUGGGUUACAAUUAAUAUUUAUAACUACGGAAUAAAAAGUUAAAACUUUUAAUUGAAGGAGGACUUGAAAGUAAAAAAAUUUAUAAAAAAUUUCUGAAUUCGGCUCUGAAGUGUGCACACAUCGCCCGUCGCUCUCGUUGAAAAAUGAGAUAAGUCGUAACAUAGUAGAGGUAAUGGAAAUUGUCUCUGGAUG